UCCGCAUCCUCUUAGCAGAAAGGAGGAAUUUUCCAUUUUCAACUAACAAAGCUGCAAAAGUCCAAGGAAACCAAAAAAAGGAAAAGAAAAAAUGGAAUGGGUUCAGUAUUAUAGACCAAAAUAUGGCAGACAAUAUACUGUUCUUAAGGUUUCAAUUUAGUAUGUAACAUGAUCAUAAACACAUAUUCAAGCCAUUUCAACAAAUCAAGAAAGCAAUUAAUGAUGAAUUGAGAAGAUAUGCAAACACUGGAGAAACUGACAUCAGAAAUUAUAAUUUAAUAGAAUGAAAAAUAUUUCCAAAUAUAUAAAUGUGUAAUAGUUUUCAACCCCAAGUAGUGCAGAUACCUAAACUUAUUUCACCUGAUCAACAUCCAAAAAUUUAUAAUGUUUAUUUAAGUGGCAAAGAAACCUGGUUAAGUGUGCCCCCCCAAGUAAACAAUUAUCAGAUAAUAAGAUCCUAGACUCCUAAUGGGGAAGGGAAACAAAUAACAUAUGGGAACUAAAAUUAUGAAACUAUCCGAGUUUCAUACUCAGAACACUAAGUAAAUGCCGAUUUAAA